CAUAAGUGCUGAUCGGUCAUUGUAUCUAGUUCUUUUAAAUAUAGGAAAAUUAAAAGACAUUGAAAUUGCUUGUAAAUCCUUAGGAAUUACAAUUAGCAAGCCUUUUGGCUGAACCAAGGAAUUAAUGGAUAUGGAAGUGGAAGUGGAUUCUCUUUCAUGUUCUAUUAGAGAAGGAGGCAUUGAUCCUUCUCUCUCUUGAUUUACUUCUAUAAUUGAGUUUAGAGAGUCAGAUUUUAAUCCUUCUCUUCCUAUUCCACUGUUUAGAUUUACUUCAAAUGAAUUUAAAACAAAAACAUCUUUUAAUAUUAGAGAUGCAAGUUAUUUAUUUUGAACCUUGUAAC
rnacentral:lncRNA from 1 species